AUUGAACGCUGGCGGCAGGCCUAACACAUGCAAGUCGAGCGAGUGGCGGACGGGUGAGUAAUGUCUGGGGAUCUGCCCGAUAGAGGGGGAUAACUACUGGAAACGGUGGCUAAUACCGCAUACUAUCGGAUGUACCCAUAUGGGAUUAGCUAGUAGGUGGGUUAAAGGCUCACCUAGGCGACGAUCUCUAGCUGGUCUGAGAGGAUGAUCAGCCACACUGGAACGGAGCCACGGCCCAGACUCCUACGGGAUGCAUCAGUGGGGAAUAGUGCACAAUGGGCGCAAGCCUGAUUCAGCCAUGCCGCGUGUAUGAAGAAGGCCUUAGGGUUGUAAAGUACUUUCAGCGGGGAGGCGUUACCCGCAGAAGAAGCACCGGCUAACUCCGUGCCAGCAGCCGCGGUAAUAC
rnacentral:rRNA from 1 species